rnacentral:tRNA from 1 species
GGGGUUGUGGCUUAGUGGUAGAGUGCUUGCCUUGCACACAUGAGGCCCUGGGUUCAAGCCUCAGCACCG